GAUGAACGCUGGCGGCGUGCCUAAUACAUGCAAGUCGAGCGAACAGACGAGGAGCUUGCUCCUCUGACGUUAGCGGCGGACGGGUGAGAAACACGAGGAUACCCUACCUAUAAGACUGGGAUAACUUCGGGAAACCGGAGCUAAUACCGGAUAAUAUAUUGAACCGCAUGGUUCAAUAGUGAAAGACGGUUUUGCUGUCACUAAUAGAUGGUUCCGCGCCGCAUUAGCUAGUUGGUAGGGUAACGGCUUACCAAGGCUACGAUGCGUAGCCGACCUGAGAGGGUGAUCGGCCACACUGGAACUGAGACACGGCCCAGACUCCUACGGGAGGCAGCAGUAGGGAAUCUUCCGCAAUGGGCGAAAGCCUGACGGAGCAACGCCGCGUGUGUGAUGAAGGUCUUCGGGUCGUAAAGCUCUGUUAUUAGGGAAGAACAAAUGUGGAAUUAACUAUGCACGGCUUGACGGUACCGAAUCAGAAAGCACCGGCUAACUACGUG
rnacentral:rRNA from 1 species